UGAUGGAUGGGAGAUUUAAAAAAAGGCCAGUUAGGACCAGCAAUCACCCUAUCCCCAGAGUCAGAUGAUGGAGGCCUGACCUGGUCCAGAGAAGUAUUCUCUCUGUUGUGCAGAAGCCUGAGAAAUGUAUCCGUCAAUCUGUGAUUCCUCGCUGCCUGUGGCCUGAGCAUGACCUCCAGAGUCGCCUGUUUGACAGGCACUAGCCCCAAGCAGGGAAAAGUGAGCCCACCGACAGGCCAGCAAGGUAAAUGACUCCCUAGUGUUCUGUGAAUUCUUCCUGCACUAACAUUGGACUUGUGGGAGCAUUUUCUGCUGAGGGAUUUCUCCAGAGACACAACCUACAAGCUGAGUUUCCUGGUUCAUCAAAGCCACUUUCUCCUCCCAAGCUCGUGCAUUUAAAUAUAAUCCUCAAUGUAAACAAACAGCGUUUCACCACUACUAGUUGGCCUCCUUUUUGUUUGACGGUCUUUAU